GGAGUUGCUGAGAAGGACCUGCGGUUCUGACCUUCAGGGGAAUUCCCACGUCUGUAUGGUGGCUCGUGAAGAGCAUGGUUCCUUUUCUCAGCCCUCUUGAGGGGCGAGGAUGCUGAGGACUGAAGUCUGUGGGGUUGAUGCAUGUGGGCCUGCUCUCUGUCAUGUGAUGCUAUACUACAGCCAGGCUGGAAUUUGGUGUCUUAUUGCUACAAAGAGUCAGCUUUGUCAAUCCUAAGGUCCCCGAGAGGCUGCCACAGGGCCAUUUUCAUGACCAGAGGGGUCUGUUCAACACCCUGUGGGUCCCAGCACCUAUCUCAGGAAGCAGGGUGCAUCUGUCCACCACCAAGUCUCAGGGUGGCUGGGUGAGUGCUCAUCAGUCCCAGACAGCAGGUUGGCACAAAACGACACUGCCCACAAAACCACAGGAAGAAGAGAAACUCCGACUGUCUUUCAGUACACAGAAGACACUGUACUGGACCCGGACAUUAGGCAGACACCCACGCCUGACUUUCAGGAGAAAAGAGAACAUGACUAACGGAUAUUCUUAGUAGAUGGUUUAUUAGAAAAGAGAACAUCUUCCAGCAUGUGUCCUGGGGUGAUGGGUGUGGGAAGCACUCAGUCCAUAGUCCUGGUCCCUGGCUUCCCCAAGCCCAGCGCCGUGAAUGUACAGUGGAAAGCAGAGGGUGCAGCGUCUCAGAAAGAUGCUUCCACUCACAAGGAUUGGAGCUCACAAGUGAGCUCGAUAACCUGCAAACCAGAGAAACCUGAGACACUGCCCCUUGGCCAUUUUAUCAACGGAGACUUUAUUGUGAUUAUCCCGGCAGGGGGCCGAGCUCUCCUCUCUGCAAGAGGAAAUGCUCUUUAGUGAAAAUGCAGCAUUUCUCCAAGGGUAGCAAAGCUGAACGCCUGCUUAGCUUAUGAACCCUCAGUUGGCCUAGGUGGUGCAAAGACCCUGCUGUUACUGCUUUGAUCAUCAGUACUG
rnacentral:lncRNA from 1 species